ensembl:lncRNA
GUAUCUGUGUCAAGGAGGUAGGUGUAUCUGUGUCAAGGAGGUAGGUGUAUCUGUGUCAAGGAGGUAGGUGUAUCUGUGUCAAGGAGGUAGGUGUAUCUGUGUCGAGGAGGUAGGUGUAUCUGUCAAGGAGGUAGGUGUAUCUGUCAAGGAGGUAGGUGUAUCUGUCAAGGAGGUAGGUGUAUCUGUGUCAAGGAGGUAGGUGUAUCUGUGUCAAGGAGGUAGGUGUAUCUGUCAAUGAGGUAGGUGUAUCUGUCAAGGAGGUAGGUGUAUCUGUGUCAAGGAGGUAGGUGUAUCUGUGUCGAGGAGGUAGGUGUACCUGUGUCAAGGAGGUAGGUGUAUCUGUGUCAAAGUCAACAGUCAAGAGAAGACUUCACCAGAGUAAAUACAGAGCGUUUACCACAAGAUGCAAAC